AUUGAACGCUGGCGGCAUGCCUUACACAUGCAAGUCGAACGGCAGCACGGGAGCAAUCCUGGUGGCGAGUGGCGAACGGGUGAGUAAUAUAUCGGAACGUGCCCAGUCGUGGGGGAUAACGCAGCGAAAGCUGUGCUAAUACCGCAUACGAUCUAUGGAUGAAAGCGGGGGAUCGCAAGACCUCGCGCGAUUGGAGCGGCCGAUAUCAGAUUAGCUAGUUGGUGAGGUAAAGGCUCACCCAGGCGACGAUCUGUAGCUGGUCUGAGAGGACGACCAGCCACACUGGAACUGAGACACGGUCCAGACUCCUACGGGAGGCAGCAGUGGGGAAUUUUGGACAAUGGGCGAAAGCCUGAUCCAGCAAUGCCGCGUGCAGGAUGAAGGCCUUCGGGUUGUAAACUGCUUUUGUACGGAACGAAACGGUGAGCUCUAAUACAGUUUGCUAGUGACGGUACCGUAAGAAUAAGCACCGGCUAACUACGUGCCAGCCGCCACGGUAA
rnacentral:rRNA from 1 species